GCCGCCGUAGCUCAGUGGUAGAGCACCCGGCUGUUAACCGGGCGGUCGUCGGUUCGAUCCCGACCAGCGGCG
rnacentral:tRNA from 1 species